rnacentral:rRNA from 1 species
UACGUAGGGUGCAAGCGUUGUCCGGAAUUAUUGGGCGUAAAGAGCUCGUAGGCGGUUCGUCGCGUCUGCUGUGAAAACCCGAGGCUCAACCUCGGGCCUGCAGUGGGUACGGGCAGACUAGAGUGCGGUAGGGGAGAUUGGAAUUCCUAGUGUAGCGGUGGAAUGCGCAGAUAUCAGGAGGAACACCAAUGGCGAAGGCAGAUCUCUGGGCCGUAACUGACGCUGAGGAGCGAAAGCAUGGGGGAGCGAACAGG